AGCAUGUACUACUUGGCUGGGCCUUACUUCUUAAUGAGCUGGUAUGCCCUUUAUUAGUGUGUGUCAGAGAACCAGAACUUUUACCUUGAGAAAAAUUAGAGUGUUCAAAGCAGGCCUAUACCUGAAUACAUUAGCAUACAAUAAUAAAAUAAGACAUGCAUUUCUAUUUUGUUGGUUUUUAGAGUCACUAUAAUGAUUAAUAGGGACAGUUGGGGGCAUUGAUAUUAAGUCACUAGAGGUGAAAUUCUUGGAUUGACUCAAGACCAACUACUAUAAAAGCAUUUACCAAGGAUAUUUUCAUUAAUCAAGAAUGAAGGUUAGAGGAUUGAAAAUGAUCAUAUACUAUAGUAGUCUUAACAGUAAACUAUGCCAACUAGAGAUUGGAUGACCUCAAAAUUGAUGUAUCAUUUGAUAUAUUAUGAGAAAUCAAAGUCUUUGAGUUUUGGGAGGAGUAUGGUCACAAUGCUGAAAAUUAAAGGAAAUGAUGGAAGGGCACCACCAGAUGUGAAGCGUAUAGAUUAAUUUAACUCAACAUGGGGAAACUCACUAAGUCCAGAUAUAACUAGGAUUGACAGAUUGAUAGCUUUUUCAUGAUUUUAUGGGUGGUGGUACAUAGCCAUUCUUAGUUGGUAGAGUGAUUUGUUGGGUUAAUUCCAAUAAUGAAUGAGACUUUAACAUCCUAAAUAGCCAGCAGGGCUUUGGCUGGUUUCUAGCUUGUUAGAGAGAGAGUCAG
rnacentral:rRNA from 1 species